rnacentral:rRNA from 1 species
AAUAGAUACCCGGGUAGUCCAUGCCGUAAACGAUGUCUACUAGCCGUUGGGGCCUUUGAGGCUUUAGUGGCGCAGCUAACGCGAUAAGUAGACCGCCUGGGGAGUACGGUCGCAAGACUAAAACUCAAAUGAAUUGACGGGGGCCCGCACAAGCGGUGGAGCAUGUGGUUUAAUUCGAUGCAACGCGAAGAACCUUACCUGGCCUUGACAUACUAGAAACUUUCCAGAGAUGGAUUGGUGCCUUCGGGAAUCUAGAUACAGGUGCUGCAUGGCUGUCGUCAGCUCGUGUCGUGAGAUGUUGGGUUAAGUCCCGCAACGAGCGCAACCCUUUUCCUUACUUGCCAGCAUUUCGGAUGGGAACUUUAAGGAUACUGCCAGUGACAAACUGGAGGAAGGCGGGGACGACGUCAAGUCAUCAUGGCCCUUACGGCCAGGGCUACACACGUGCUACAAUGGUCGGUACAAAGGGUUGCUACACAGCGAUGUGAUGCUAAUCUCAAAAAGCCGAUCGUAGUCCGGA